AUGACCAUUAACAAGGCGCAGGGCCAGACCAUCCCAAAUGUUGGCAUUUAUCUUCCAGAGCCGGUGUUCUCCCAUGGUCAGCUGUAUGUUGCCUUGUCAAGAGGUGUAUCAAGGCGGACGACGCGAAUUUUGGCCAAGCCAAACAAACAUAUUGAUAAAUCAGGAAAAGCACCAAGAAUAUUGUAUAUAGAGAUGUUUUAG
rnacentral:rRNA from 1 species